GCAGCUUAGCUCAGUUGGUUAGAGCAUGGUGCUGAUAAUGCCAAGGUUGCAGGUUCGAUCACCAUAUGGGAGAGCUGCA
rnacentral:tRNA from 1 species